AACGAACGCUGGCGGCGUGGAUAAGACAUGCAAGUCGAACGGGACAGACCGAGUAGCAAUAUUUGGAAUGUUCAGUGGCGAACGGGUGCGUAACACGUGGAUAACAUUCCGGAAAGCGGGGAAUAGCCCAGGGAAACUUGGAUUAAUACCGCAUGUGGCCGCAAGGCUAAAGACGGGGACCGCAAGGCCUGUCACUUUCCGAUUGGUCCGCGGCCUAUCAGCCAGUUGGCGGGGUAAUGGCCCACCAAGGCUACGACGGGUAGCUGGUCUUAGAGGAAGACCAGCCACACUGGAACUGAGACACGGUCCAGACACCUACGGGUGGCAGCAGUCGAGAAUCUUUCACAAUGGGGGCAACCCUGAUGGAGCGACGCCGCGUGGAGGAUAAGGUCUUCGGAUUGUAAACUCCUGUCAUGCGAGAACAAGGUACUCAGGCUAAUAACCUGAUUGUUUGAUGGUACCGCAAGAGGAAGAGACGGCUAACUCUGUGCCAGCAGCCGCCGUAAUAC
rnacentral:rRNA from 1 species